rnacentral:tRNA from 1 species
GGGCCCAUAGCUCAGUUGGCAGAGCACCGUGCUGAUAACGCGGGGGUGAGUGGUUCGAUCCCACUUGGGCCCA